GGUCAAGUAAUGAAGUGCACAUGGUGGAUGCCUUGGCAGUCAGAGGCGAUGAAAGACGUGAUAGCCUGCGAUAAGCGUCGGUGAGGUGGCAAUAUCCUGUGACCCGGCGAUUUCUGAAUGGGGAAACCCAGCCAACAUAAGUUGGUUAUCUUAUAUUAGUAUAAGAGGCAAACCGGGAGAAGUGAAACAUCUCAGUACCCCGAGGAAAAGACAUCAAUAGAGAUUCCCCAAGUAGCGGCGAGCGAACUGGGAGAAGCCGAUCAAACUUGUAGUAGCAAAAUGGCGUGGGAAAGCCAACCAUAGUAGGUGAUAGUCCUGUAUGCGAAACUGCAAAUGCGACAUAUUAAGUAGGGCGAGACACGUGAAAUCUUGUCUGAAGAUGGGGGACCAUCCUCCAAGGCUAAAUACUCCUGACUGACCGAUAGUGAACCAGUACCGUGAGGGAAAGGCGAAAAGAACCCCUGUUAGGGGAGUGAAAUAGAACCUGAAACCGUGUGCAUACAAGCAGUCGGAGCCCACUUGUUGGGUGACGGCGUACCUUUUGUAUAAUGGGUCAGCGACUUAUAUUCUGUAGCAAGGUUAACCGUUUAGGGGAGCCGUAGGGAAACCGAGUCUUAAUAGGGCGAUUAAGUUGCAGGGUAUAGACCCGAAACCGAGUGAUCUAUCCAUGAGCAGGUUGAAAGUGCCGUAACAGGCACCGGAGGACCGAACCCACUGUCGUUGAAAAGCCAGGGGAUGACUUGUGGAUAGGGGUGAAAGGCUAAUCAAACUCGGUGAUAGCUGGUUCUCCCCGAAAGCUAUUUAGGUAGCGCCUCGGACGAAUACCAUUGGGGGUAGAGCACUGUUUCGGCUAGGGGGUCAUCCCGACUUACCAAACCGAUGCAAACUCCGAAUACCGAUGAGUACUAUCCGGGAGACAGACGGCGGGUGCUAACGUUCGUCGUCAAGAGGGAAACAACCCAGACCGCCAGCUAAGGCCCCAAAUUCCUAGUUAAGUGGGAAACGAUGUGGGAAGGCACAGACAGCUAGGAGGUUGGCUUAGAAGCAGCCACCCUUUAAAGAAAGCGUAAUAGCUCACUAGUCGAGUCGGCCUGCGCGGAAGAUGUAACGGGGCUCAAACUAGGAGCCGAAGCUGCGGAUUUAAUUGUUUCAAUUAAGUGGUAGGGGAGCGUUGUGUAAGCCUGUGAAGGUGUGUUGUAAAGCAUGCUGGAGGUAUCACAAGAGCGAAUGCUGACGUGAGUAACGACAAAACGGGUGAAAAGCCCGUUCGCCGGAAGACCAAGGGUUCCAGUCCAACGUUAAUCGGGGCUGGGUGAGUCGACCCCUAAGGCGAGGCCGAAAGGCGUAGUCGAUGGGAAAUUGGUUAAUAUUCCAAUACUUGUUUAUGAUGCGAUGGAGGGACGGAGAAGGUUAUGUCAGCCUGGUGUUGGUUGUCCAGGUGAAAGGAUGUAGGUAGGUUUAGUAGGCAAAUCCGCUAGACUAUUACUGAGAUCUGAUAGCAAGCCAGUUUACUGGCAAAGUGGCAAAUACCAUGCUUCCAGGAAAAGCUUCUAAGCGAUAGUCAUAAACAAAUCGUACCCGAAACCGACACAGGUGGUCAGGUAGAGAAUACCAAGGCGCUUGAGAGAACUCUGCUGAAGGAACUAGGCAAAAUGGUACCGUAACUUCGGGAGAAGGUACGCUGCCGAUGGUGAUAAGACUUGCUCUUUGAGCUGUUGGCAGUCGCAGAUACCAGGCUGCUGCAACUGUUUAUUAAAAACACAGCACUCUGCAAACACGAAAGUGGACGUAUAGGGUGUGAUGCCUGCCCGGUGCUGGAAGGUUAAUUGAUGGGGUUAGCGUAUGCGAAGCUCUUGAUCGAAGCCCCAGUAAACGGCGGCCGUAACUAUAACGGUCCUAAGGUAGCGAAAUUCCUUGUCGGGUAAGUUCCGACCUGCACGAAUGGCAUAAUGAUGGCAGCGCUGUCUCCAGCAGAGACUCAGUGAAAUCGAAAUCGCAGUGAAGAUGCUGUGUACCCGCGGCUAGACGGAAAGACCCCGUGAACCUUUACUACAGCUUUACAUUGAACUUUGACCUAACUUGUGUAGGAUAGGUGGGAGGCUUUGAAGUAGGGACGCCAGUUCCUAUGGAGCCAUCCUUGAAAUACCACCCUGGUUAUGUUGGGGUUCUAACUUAGAUGUAACAACAUCAAGGACAAUGUAUGGUGGGUAGUUUGACUGGGGCGGUCUCCUCCUAAAGAGUAACGGAGGAGUACGAAGGUGCGCUCAGAACGGUCGGAAAUCGUUCAAAGAGUAUAAAGGCAAAAGCGCGCUUAACUGCGAGACCCACAAGUCGAGCAGGUACGAAAGUAGGUCUUAGUGAUCCGGUGGUUCUGUAUGGAAGGGCCAUCGCUCAACGGAUAAAAGGUACUCUGGGGAUAACAGGCUGAUACCGCCCAAGAGUUCAUAUCGACGGCGGUGUUUGGCACCUCGAUGUCGGCUCAUCUCAUCCUGGGGCUGAAGCAGGUCCCAAGGGUAUGGCUGUUCGCCAUUUAAAGAGGUACGCGAGCUGGGUUUAGAACGUCGUGAGACAGUUCGGUCCCUAUCUACCGUGGGCGUUGGAAAUUUGAGAGGAUCUGCUCCUAGUACGAGAGGACCAGAGUGGACGAACCUCUGGUGUUCCGGUUGUUUCGCCAGAAGCACUGCCGGGUAGCUAUGUUCGGAUGGGAUAACCGCUGAAAGCAUCUAAGCGGGAAGCCCACCUCAAGAUUAGAUUUCCCUAAAGAGCCGUUGUAGACUACGACGUUGAUAGGUUGGGUGUGGAAGCAUGGCGACAUGUGUAGCUAACCAAUACUAAUUGCUCGUUUGGCUUGACCAU
rnacentral:rRNA from 1 species